AGCGAAGACAAGAGGGAGGAAGAGUCUCAAGCCGCGUGCAAGUUACGAGGAAAGCACUCACCCCGCUCCCGCGGAACCUUGUAACGACAACGGGAUCCAAAGAGUCUUAUGGCAUUUAACACAGAGAGAGACGAUGCAUGCGGCGACUGGCGAAAAAACGAUUGUUGCGCCUCCAUUUUCAAGACGGCUAAGGGUCGACAGUGUGAACGUGUCUGCUUGGGGUAUGUGGCGCUGGGCCAGCUGUCGCGGUUGCAUCUCGCAGAGCGCUUUGCGAGUGAAACAGAACGCCCUUUCCUUGAGAACGGAGCCUCGUGUGCGCGGCGCGAGCGCAGGCUGACGCUGCGCAAGACACGGCCCACCGAAAGAAUCGAGGACUCUUUUUUCUAUCCACACGAAGCGUGCGUAUACUGACCGAUCGCGUGCGAGCAGCGGCGAGUCUGAGGCGACCGAGAAACCGUUCGUCUUCCUCGUGUCUUCCUGCGCCGCUUCGGCGUUUCCGCUCCGCCAGAGGAUCGACGAACCCGACAUUCCCGAGCAGCAUCUGUUGCUGUUCAUACACCGAAAGCACCUGCUGAGGGCCUUUGUAAAGAUUCUUUUUCUGGUGUAGCCGUUGCACCUGAUGCAGCAGCGAGGCCGGGUCGCUCUCGCCCAUCUCUGCUUCGCCCCGAUUCGGAGACCGUUCCAUUCUGUGGUGCCAGGCCUCGACGGCGCCCCUCAGUCGCCGCUUCUCCACCCGCGCCAGGCACGGAACAACUUGCGUAAUCACGAACGAGUAGCUGAGGGCACACCGCGCGGACGCAAGGAAGACCAUCGACAUGGGAGGCAAAGGCGAUUGGACGAUCGGAGAAGCCAGUUGACGGCAUGCUUGUCCAGUUCCUUUUAUCGUGUUACUUCGACGAAACAGGUAGCCUUCUUCCUUCCUGAAUCGUCCACUGCCCCACUUCUUCUGGCGAAAUUUCGGCUGUUGCUGAAGAUAGCCAACUUCUCGCCGAUGCAUCGCUCGCUUCUGCUCCGCGCUGAGUUCGACGUGCUCCUCUUUCGGGUCCGUCAAGUAGGCACUGAGACGUGAAGCCUGCCGAUCUCGCGCCGCGCCACCCUUCUCCAGCCCCUCAGGAUCCCCCCCUUCGUGGUCUCCAUUUGCCAGCGUAUCCACCUUUCUCUGGAGCGCACGGCGGCGCUCCGCGACGAGCAACUCCUGGUACUCGGGUGUAUGCACAAGUUUGUUGCGAUUCGGGUCAAACCGAGUCCAGAACUUCUCUCGGAGGAUCAGCUGCUUUAGCCCGGGAUGGGGCGCGCGGUAGAUAGGCUUACUGCGGCUCCGCGUCAUGCAGAGCUGCGUUCGACGCUCUCCCGCGCGCGCCGUGGUCUCCGUUCCGGCGAGAGCAAAAUCCGCUGCGACGCUGUGGAGCCGCGCCAAGGAAAGACGCACCGGCGCCGACGCGGUGGACGCGAGGAAGCAAGACGGAGAGAAAAGCGCGACGCAGGAGCGCGGCGAGAGGAAGGAGAGACCGCCGGGGCUGCUCCAAACACAGUGCGUAGCCUCCGUCAAGAGCGCACCCUCGCGCAGCCGCCCUGCGCAACGUGCGACAGGCCUGAUGCGUCCCUGGGCUCCUGGGGCCGAGCGGCAAAGGGACGUUACGAGCGCAAGAACGGCGGCGACGGGCACGAGGCCAAGAGACAAACAAGACAACGCGUGCGGACGAGACGAGCCCUCGAAUGUGACUUGCUCUCGACGACGCAUCGAAGGCCAUAGCCCGCUUCCUGCCCCUCUGCGAAAAAACGGGAUGCGAUCUGUGCAGCGGGAAGACGGUCCCUCGGGAUGCUGCCGGUCGCUCCAGGUUGAGGAAAAGGAGGAAGCGAUCUCAGUUGCUGACUCGGCCGGGUUCUCCGUUGCGCGGGCGCUGUUCGCCUUCUGUGGCGCUUUCCGUCCGGACAGGGCGUGCCCGAGGGGCGAGGAUCUGUCGCCCCGUUCGCUCUGUGGAGCCAGGCCGCGUGGCCAGAACAGAGUCUCGUCCCGCACUUCCGCCGGCAGAGGGUAGUUCCAGGGGUUGCUUUGAUUUUGGAAAGAUCCCAAGAAAGGGAAGGAAGAGACGGGGCCGGGGAACCACCUCCGUGCGACAGCGAAGGUCGGGUAGCAGACGAGAAGAACGAGGAGGGGAAGACAAAGACGGUAUCGUGUGCGAAAACCGUCGCGGCACGACAGAGGAGCGGUGUGGAAUGUGGGGGAGAGGGAACACAAGAUCGGAGGGAAAAGAAGGGGAUCCAUCUUGCAGGCGAAUGUAGGGGGAGGAGACGGAAGGGCAACGAGACAAAACGGGCAUUUCUCGGAAAAACCAAACGGGCGUUCCUCUGGAACUCCGCUCUGGUUUCCAGGGGGUUUGCCUUCCAGGUUAAGACACGGGAGGCGAAAGAAGAAGCCUUAGUUUCCACGGCCAGAGACAAGACAUACGUCAGCCACGCCCUUCCCUUUCAUCUCGAGGAAACGGACUGCGUGCAAAAGGUUGGCUGCGUUGUAUAUUCCUGAGGAUAUAUGGACUUCUCAGAACCCUGGCGGUCGCGCAGGUGCGCGGCGUUCUGACGAGGACCAGGGAAUCGUCCACGAGCCUCCACUCAUUAGCGGUGUGCUGUCUGAAACUCUCUCUGAAAAAGGGGAAUUGGUGAGAAUGAACAGAAACUCCGUUAUGGUGCGAGCGGGGCUGAUGCCCGUUUGUGUGGCGCCCGCCCGCGAAGUUUUGUGUCGUCGAGGUACUGUACGAGUUCGCGAAAAGUUUGGCGACUGAGAGCAUGAAAUGCAGACUCGGGGGGCUGCACGAAGUUGGAAAACCAGCAGUCGUGAAGGCGUGCUGCGCUGAAGAACUUUAAACACGGGACGAAAAUGUCGGCGCUCUAGAUGUGCGCCACGGCCGGAGCUCGGGCUGCAGCCCGACAUCGACAGUGAGGGACCGGCGAGGGCAGAAGAAAGGGUUGGAGAGACGUGGACGAAUCCUUCCUGAACGUUCACCUCUCCGUCCCCAUAAUCAGUGUGCGUCUUUUGAAACAGAUGGAGAUAACCAGACGAGGUGAAGAGAGGAAAGGUGGGAAAAGCGGGAAAACUCGCAAGACAACGCCGGGGCUCUCUGCUGGCCAUCUCAAACAUGUGUGCCUGGCCCAGCCGCCGGUCCGCUCUGACCCCGGAGUCACUUUCGGGAAAAAAAAUCCCAGUGGGGAAAAGGAUAAAGGCUUUUGUGAUGUGCGGACAGCAUGCGAGGUGACCGGCUUAACGGGUUGUUUUUGUCGAGGGCGGCUUUUCCCGCAUGACCGUUGCAGAUGCCACGCCCGCCAGAGCACAUACGCGCGCCGCACACAUGGCGUGUGACCCAGACAGCUUACCGACCUGUGGUUCGCAUCGUUUAACGCGAGUACCUGUUUCAUGGCCGUCGAGGUAUUUAUGUUGGCCUCCGUUCGUGUUCAUUCUCCUUCAGAUUUUCUCCUUGUUGGCCUUGAAAAGCAUGUGCGCCUGCCUUUUGUUGCAUGGCGCAUGUUCUAACGCGUCCCGGAGGCACAACAAUUUCCGGGAUUUUGAACGUACCAUGUGUACACGAACUCCAUCCCGGUUAAGUUUGG
rnacentral:lncRNA from 1 species